rnacentral:rRNA from 1 species
UACGUAGGUGGCGAGCGUUGUCCGGAUUUAUUGGGCGUAAAGCGCGUGUAGGCGGCUUAGCAAGUCGGGCGUGAAAGCCCUCGGCUCAACCGAGGAAGUGCACCCGAAACUGCUGAGCUUGAGUGCCGGAGAGGAUGGCGGAAUUCCCCAAGUAGAGGUGAAAUUCGUAGAUAUGGGGAGGAACACCGGUGGCGAAGGCGGCCAUCUGGACGGUAACUGACGCUGAGACGCGAAAGCGUGGGGAGCAAACAGG